rnacentral:rRNA from 1 species
GGGGGGGGGGGGGGGCGUGGUGGACGCGGGGGGGGCGAGGGGAAGGGCCCGGGGUUGCUUGGGUGCUCGAGUGGCGAACGGGUGUGUAACACGUGGGUGAUCUGCCCUGCACUGCGGGAUAAGCCUGGGAAACUGGGUCUAAUACCGGAUAGGACGCUGGUUUGGAUGCCAUUGUGGAAAGUUUUUCGGGUGUGGGGUGAGCUCGCGGCCUAUCCGGUUGUUGGUGGGGUCUUGGCCUACCAAGGAGUCGACGGGUAUCCGGCCGGAGAGGGGGUACGGCGACAUUGGGACAGGGAGACGGCCCAGACUGCUAAGGGAGGCGGCAGUGGGGAAGAUUGCACAAUGGGGGCAAGCCUGAUGGAGCGACGCCGCGUGGGGGAUGACGGCCUUCGGGUUGUAAACGCCUUUCGCUAGGGAAGAAGCGUUUUUGUGACGGUACCUGGAGAAGAAGCACCGGCUAACUACGUG